rnacentral:rRNA from 1 species
AACGAACGCUGGCGGCAGGCUUAACACAUGCAAGUCGAACGCUCGUAGCAAUACGGGAGUGGCGGACGGGUGAGUAACGCGUGGGAACGUGCCCUGAGGUACGGAAUAACUGAGGGAAACUUCAGCUAAUACCGUAUGAGCCCCGAGAGGGGGGAAAGAUUUAUCGCCUUGGGAGCGGCCCGCGUCGGAUUAGCUAGUUGGUGGGGUAACGGCCUACCAAGGCUUCGAUCCGUAGCUGGUCUGAGAGGACGAUCAGCCACACUGGGACUGAGACACGGCCCAGACUCCUACGGGAGGCAGCAGUGGGGAAUCUUGCGCAAUGGGGGGCAACCCUGACGCAGCCAUGCCGCGUUA